rnacentral:rRNA from 1 species
GUAGUCAUAUGCUUGUCUCAAAGAUUAAGCCAUGCAUGUCUAAGUAUAAGCAAUUAUACCGCGAAACUGCGAAUGGCUCAUUAUAUAAGUUAUCGUUUAUUUGAUAGUACCUUACUACUUGGAUAACCGUGGUAAUUCUAGAGCUAAUACAUGCUAAAAACCCCGACUUCGGAAGGGGUGUAUUUAUUAGAUUAAAAACCAAUGCCCUUCGGGGCUCUCUGGUGAUUCAUGAUAACUUCUCGAAUCGCAUGGCCUUGCGCCGGCGAUGGUUCAUUCAAAUUUCUUCCCUAUCAACUUUCGAUGUUUGGGUAUUGGCCAAACAUGGUUGCAACGGGUAACGGGGAAU